GACGUAGGGCGCGAGCGUUGUCCGGAUUUAUUGGGCGUAAAGAGCUCGUAGGCGGUUUGUCGCGUCGUCCGUGAAAACUCACAGCUUAACUGUGAGCUUGCGGUCGAUACGGGCAGGCUAGAGUUCGGUAGGGGAGACUGGAAUUCCUGGUGUAGCGGUGGAAUGCGCAGAUAUCAGGAGGAACACCGGUGGCGAAGGCGGGUCUCUGGGCCGUUACUGACGCUGAGGAGCGAAAGCGUGGGAAGCGAACAGG
rnacentral:rRNA from 1 species